rnacentral:rRNA from 1 species
UACGUAGGGGGCUAGCGUUGUCCGGAAUCAUUGGGCGUAAAGGGCGCGUAGGCGGCCUUCUAAGUCAGACGUGAAAUCCCCCGGCUUAACCUGGGAACUGCGUCUGAUACUGGGAGGCUUGAGUAUGGGAGAGGGAUGUAGAAUUCCAGGUGUAGCGGUGAAAUGCGUAGAUAUCUGGAGGAAUACCGGUGGCGAAGGCGGCAUCCUGGACCAUUACUGACGCUGAGGCGCGAAAGCUAGGGGAGCAAACGGGG